rnacentral:rRNA from 1 species
UACAGAGGGGGCAAGCGUUGUCCGGAUUGACUGGGCGUACAGCGCGCGCAGGCGGGCUGCCAGGUGCCGUGUGACAAGCCGCCGCUCAACGGCGGAGGGACAGGGUAGACCAGCAGCCUGGAGGCCGGGAGAGGGUCGUGGAAUACCCGGUGGAGCGGUGAAAUGCGUAGAGAUCGGGUGGAACACCAGCGGCGCAGGCGGCGACCUGGCCCGGACCUGACGCUGAGGCGCGAGAGCGUGGGGAGCGAACCGG